rnacentral:rRNA from 1 species
UGAGUACGAGACACUACGGUGUCGAAGCAGUCUAUGUCAUACUUCCAAGAAAAGCUUGCACUGUCAUAAACAAAUAAUGCCUGUACCAUAACCGACACAGGUGGGUAGGUAGAGUAUACUAAGGGGCGCGAGAUAACUCUCUCUAAGGAACUCGGCAAAAUGACUCCGUAACUUCGGGAGAAGGAGUGCCUUAUAUUUUAUAAGGUUGCAAUAACAAGAUCCAAGCAACUGUUUACCAAAAACACAGGUCUCCGCUAAGUCGUAAGACGAUGUAUGGGGGCUGACGCCUGCCCAGUGCCAGAAGGUUAAAGAAGUUGGUUAGUAUUUGCGAAGCUGAUAACUGAAGCCCUGGUGAACGGCGGCCGUAACAAUAACGGUCCUAAGGUAGCGAAAUUCCUUGUCGGGUAAGUUCCGACCCGCACGAAAGGCGUAAUGAUUUGGAUACUGUCUCGGAGAGGGACUCGGUGAAAUAGACUUGUCUGUGAAGAUGCGGACUACUUGCACCAGGACAGAAAGACCCUAUGAAGCUUUACUGUAACUUGAAAUUGAAAUUGGACUUUACUUGCGCAGUAUAGGUGGGAGGCUUUGAGAAUAUUCUUGCGGGAAUAUUGGAGCCAUUAGUGAGAUACCACUCUGGUAAUGUUAGACUUCUAACUUUGUAUCAUUAUCUGGUCAAAGAACAGUUUCAGGCGGGCAGUUUGACUGGGGCGGUCGCCUCCUAAACGGUAACGGAGGCGCACAAAGGUUUCCUCUGAACGGGUAGAAAUCGUAUCUAGAGUGUGAAGGCAUAAGGAAGCUUGACUGUGAGACCUACAAGUCGAGCAGGGACGAAAGUCGGUCUUAGUGAUCUGACGGUGCUGAGUGGAAAGGCCGUCACUCAACGGAUAAAAGUUACUCUAGGAUAACAGGCUGAUCUCCCCCAAGAGUUCACAUCGACGGGGAGGUUUGGCACCUCGAUGUCGGCUCAUCGCAUCCUGGGGCGGUAGUACGUCCCAAGGGUUGGGCUGUUCGCCCAUGAAAGCGGUACGCGAGCUGGGUUCAGAACGUCGUGAGACAGUUCGGUCCAUAUCCGGUGUAAGCGUUAGAAUAUUGAGAGGAGCCUUCUUUAGUACGAGAGGACCGAGAAGGAUGCACCGCUGGUGUACCAGUUAUUGUGCCAACAGUAAACGCUGGGUAGCUAUGUGUGGAGUGGAUAACCGCUGAAAGCAUCUAAGUGGGAAGCCCACCUCAAGAUAAGUAUUCUUAUCACGUAAGUGAAUAAGGUCACGGUAAGACUAACCGUUUGAUAGGCAUUAAGUGUAAAUCUAGUAAUAGACGAGCUGAGAUGUACUAACAGACCGAAGAC